rnacentral:lncRNA from 1 species
AUUUGUAGAGCAAUAUGGGAGGUUAGAAUGGAUCAUCAUAGGAUUUCUCUGGAAGAAAACCAGCAGCAGCAUAAAUCAAACCAAAACAAGAAUAAAAAUAAAGAAUGCUCAGGGUCGAAGGGAGAGGAAAAGAAGGAAUUCAGUCUUUUAACCUGCAAGAAAACUCACUCAUGCAGACAGAAGUCCAACAGCAAACAGCACACCAGGGUUGCGACUGAAAUGAAGAGCAGUUGAUCAUUAUUCACCCUGUAUGAAAAUGAUACGACCUAAAAGUUUAACUGAGUAGUAUGAACACUUAACAAGUAUACAUCCUUGUAAAAAAGAGUACUUGAGGAUGAAGAAGAAUGAAAAAAAGAAGGAAG